ACGAACGCUGGCGGCGUGCCUAAUACAUGCAAGUAGAACGCUGAAGAGAGGAGCUUGCUCUUCUUGGAUGAGUUGCGAACGGGUGAGUAACGCGUAGGUAACCUGCCUUGUAGCGGGGGAUAACUAUUGGAAACGAUAGCUAAUACCGCAUAACAAUGGAUGACACAUGUCAUUUAUUUGAAAGGGGCAAUUGUUCCACUACAAGAUGGACCUGCGUUGUAUUAGCUAGUAGGUGAGGUAAUGGCUCACCUAGGCGACGAUACAUAGCCGACCUGAGAGGGUGAUCGGCCACACUGGGACUGAGACACGGCCCAGACUCCUACGGGAGGCAGCAGUAGGGAAUCUUCGGCAAUGGGGGCAACCCUGACCGAGCAACGCCGCGUGAGUGAAGAAGGUUUUCGGAUCGUAAAGCUCUGUUGUAAGUCAAGAACGGGUGUGAGAGUGGAAAGUUCACACUGUGACGGUAGCUUACCAGAAAGGGACGGCUAACUACGUGCCAGCAGCCGCGGUAAUACGUAGGUCCCGAGCGUUGUCCGGAUUUAUUGGGCGUAAAGCGAGCGCAGGCGGUUUGAUAAGUCUGAAGUUAAAGGCUGUGGCCCAACCAUAGUUCGCUUUGGAAACUGUCAAACUUGAGUGCAGAAGGGGAGAGUGGAAUUCCAUGUGUAGCGGUGAAAUGCGUAGAUAUAUGGAGGAACACCGGUGGCGAAAGCGGCUCUCUGGUCUGUAACUGACGCUGAGGCUCGAAAGCGUGGGGAGCGAACAGGAUUAGAUACCCUGGUAGUCCACGCCGUAAACGAUGAGUGCUAGGUGUUGGAUCCUUUCCGGGAUUCAGUGCCGCAGCUAACGCAUUAAGCACUCCGCCUGGGGAGUACGACCGCAAGGUUGAAACUCAAAGGAAUUGACGGGGGCCCGCACAAGCGGUGGAGCAUGUGGUUUAAUUCGAAGCAACGCGAAGAACCUUACCAGGUCUUGACAUCCCGAUGCUAUUUCUAGAGAUAGAAAGUUACUUCGGUACAUCGGUGACAGGUGGUGCAUGGUUGUCGUCAGCUCGUGUCGUGAGAUGUUGGGUUAAGUCCCGCAACGAGCGCAACCCCUAUUGUUAGUUGCCAUCAUUCAGUUGGGCACUCUAGCGAGACUGCCGGUAAUAAACCGGAGGAAGGUGGGGAUGACGUCAAAUCAUCAUGCCCCUUAUGACCUGGGCUACACACGUGCUACAAUGGUUGGUACAACGAGUUGCGAGUCGGUGACGGCGAGCUAAUCUCUUAAAGCCAAUCUCAGUUCGGAUUGUAGGCUGCAACUCGCCUACAUGAAGUCGGAAUCGCUAGUAAUCGCGGAUCAGCACGCCGCGGUGAAUACGUUCCCGGGCCUUGUACACACCGCCCGUCACACCACGAGAGUUUGUAACACCCGAAGUCGGUGAGGUAACCUUUUGGAGCCAGCCGCCUAAGGUGGGACAGAUGAUUGGGGUG
rnacentral:rRNA from 1 species